AUUGAACGCUGGCGGCAUGCCUUACACAUGCAAGUCGAACGGUAGAAGGGGCAACCCUUCGAGAGUGGCGAACGGGUGAGUAAUGCAUCGGAACGUGCCCAGUUGUGGGGGAUAACACUUCGAAAGAAGUGCUAAUACCGCAUACGACCUGAGGGUGAAAGCGGGGGACUCGCAAGAGCCUCGCGCAAUUGGAGCGGCCGAUGUCAGAUUAGGUAGUUGGUGGGGUAAAGGCCUACCAAGCCGACGAUCUGUAGCUGGUCUGAGAGGACGACCAGCCACACUGGGACUGAAACACGGCCCAGACUCCUAGGGGAGGCAGCAGUGGGGAAUUUUGGACAAUGGACGAAAGUCUGAUCCAGCCAUGCGGCGUGCAGGAAGAAGGCCUUCGGGUUGUAAACUGCUUUUGUCAGGGAAGAAAUCCCUUGGGUUAAUACCUCGGGGGGAUGACGGUACCUGAAGAAUAAGCACCGGCUAACUACGUGCCAGCCGCCGCCGUAA
rnacentral:rRNA from 1 species